CCCGUGUGAUGCCGUCGCUGCCCGGAUAC
rnacentral:sRNA from 1 species